GCCUUUUUUUCUGACUGACGGCUGAAAUGCCGCCAAAAGGCUGAUAACAUCGACUGAUUUCUAGUCUGGAUGUAGUCUGCAGCGUCGGAGGUGUAUUUUGGAUCCUCUUCUUGUGAAUGCCAUAGUAUCGAUGAUAACAUCAACUGUUUGUGGUCAUGUCGUCUGCAUCGGAGGUGU